rnacentral:rRNA from 1 species
UUGGUAAAUCUCGUGCCAGCCACCGCGGUUAUACGAGAGGCCCUAGUUGAUAGACACGGCGUAAAGGGUGGUUAGGGAUAACUAUUAAUUAAAGCCGAAGACCUCCAAGUCCGUCAUACGAUCUCGAAGGCACGAAGUCCCGACACGAAAGUAGCUUUAUUCCCCCGACCCCACGAAAGCUAAGAAACAAACUAGGAUUAGAUACCCCACUA